CCACCUUUCUCAAUGAGCCAAAUAACUGCAUGUGCAGACACUCCCAAAUCUGGCUCAGUCAGAACGAUCCAGCUUAGCUUCAACAAUUUUAAUUCCCUGGGAUUCAGCAGAAAUUAAAACAUCUCGUGGUGAGCCGUCACUUUUGUUUGCAGCACUCUGUAUUCUCUGCCACUUAUUUAUGGAGAUCUAAGAAAAUCAACACUCCGAGGAAACCAUCACAAAAAACCUUCUACUGCCUCCUUCUUCCAGAGGAUUUAUAGCUUCCCUCAGAUGCAGAACUGCAAGAUUCCAGUGAGUCACUGAGGAACUUAUACAGAGACCGCCAAUGCAUUUAUACUGUUAGUAUUAUUACUUUACUUUGUCUUCAGUUCUUGGCAUGUGGGACCUAGAAGACUUGUCAGACUCGGGCCUCACAAAGCUGUGCCAGCAUGCAGAAAAGGUAGCUGGGGGAGACAAAAAUGUUUGCUUCGCUGACCUCUCUGUUUGGCUCCUAAUGAGGUUUGAUUUGUAUUCAGGGUUGCGCAUGUGCUCCCAGGGAACACACAUAGCUUAGGCCAAUUGUAUGAGAUUGGAGUACAAAGAGAAGCCCUACUCAGGCUCUGACAUUUAGCAAGCCAAGAGGUUUGAAAAUGGAGCCAAGUCAAUUGCCUGGCUUGGCUGUAUAAACCAAAACACAAGCCUCGCCACUGGAAUUGAUUAUAUACACAUGAAAAGAAAAUACAUAAAAUGAUACAUAAGGUUCCUGUAACCUCCAGGAGCCGAUGCCAGAAUAUGCUUGUUGGCUUGGGCCUUCCCUGGCUCAACACCACAACCGAGCACAGAGCUCAGCUGAGGCCGUGCUUCAGUUUUCAUCAGAUUAACUCUUUGGCGCAGGUCAAAGCACCCCAUUUCACAUGCUCUAAGAUCUGAGUUCUCCCUCGAGCCCCCAGGGAAAGUAGUAGCUGAUUGUAUGAGUGCAGGAUUUACGGCCCUUAAAGCUGGUGCAAGAGGUGCUAUAGCUAGCCAUGGGAGGAAAGCAAAUUGAAUUAAAUGAGAUUAGGAAGCUACACAGAAGACUAACCAGGAGAACGUUUAUGCUAAAUGCAAAGUACCUCUUGAGCCAGCCUUACAUAAAGUGCUUUUUCCUCUGGUACAGAUCCCAUCUAUCUCUAAACAUAAAUCGAAGUCUCCAACUAUGUAUUUCUUAGUUUAAUUACACAUAAUACUUUAGUUAGGAAGCUUAACCCACGCUGACUACUGCACUGAUUCUAACAACAAAGACAGCAGGCACUGAAAUGUGACGUGUCUUGGAAGAAUAUGGGUUAUUAAUAGCAUUCUUUCCAGUGAAAAUAUUUGUGCCUUUCUGUGCUAUCUCACUGUUCUCCAGAAAUAUACUUUUUUCCUCAGUU
rnacentral:lncRNA from 7 species